ACGAACGCUGGCGGCGCGCCUAACACAUGCAAGUCGAACGGGGUUAUACGGGAUGAAGUUUUCGGAUGGAAUUCGGUAUAACCUAGUGGCGGACGGGUGAGUAACACGUGAGCAACCUGCCUAUCAGAGGGGGAUAACGAUUGGAAACGAUCGCUAAUACCGCAUGACAUAGCGGGAAGGCAUCUUCCUGCUAUCAAAGAUUUAUCGCUGAUAGAUGGCCUCGCGUCUGAUUAGCUAGUUGGUGAGGUAACGGCCCACCAAGGCGACGAUCAGUAGCCGGACUGAGAGGUUGAACGGCCACAUUGGGACUGAGAUACGGCCCAGACUCCUACGGGAGGCAGCAGUGGGGAAUAUUGGGCAAUGGGCGCAAGCCUGACCCAGCAACGCCGCGUGAAGGAAGAAGGCUUUCGAGUUGUAAACUUCUUUUGUCAGGGACGAGUAGAAGACGGUACCUGACGAAUAAGCCACGGCUAACUACGUGCCAGCAGCCGCGGUAAUACGUAGGUGGCAAGCGUUGUCCGGAUUUACUGGGUGUAAAGGGCGUGCAGCCGGGAGUGCAAGUCAGAUGUGAAAUCCACGGGCUCAACUCGUGAACUGCAUUUGAAACUACUCUUCUUGAGUAUCGGAGAGGCAAUCGGAAUUCCUAGUGUAGCGGUGAAAUGCGUAGAUAUUAGGAGGAACACCAGUGGCGAAGGCGGAUUGCUGGACGACAACUGACGGUGAGACGCGAAAGCGUGGGGAGCAAACAGGAUUA
rnacentral:rRNA from 1 species